AGGCAGCAGUGGGGAAUAUUGCACAAUGGGCGCAAGCCUGAUGCAGCCAUGCCGCGUGUAUGAAGAAGGCCUUCGGGUUGUAAAGUACUUUCAGCAGUGAGGAAGGCGGGUGUGUUAAUAGCACAUUCGUUUGACGUUAGCUGCAGAAGAAGCACCGGCUAACUCCGUGCCAGCAGCCGCGGUAAUACGGAGGGUGCGAGCGUUAAUCGGAAUUACUGGGCGUAAAGCGCAUGCAGGUGGUUUGUUAAGUCAGAUGUGAAAGCCCGGGGCUCAACCUCGGAAUUGCAUUUGAAACUGGCAGACUAGAGUACUGUAGAGGGGGUAGAAUUUCAGGUGUAGCGGUGAAAUGCGUAGAGAUCUGAAGGAAUACCGGUGGCGAAGGCGGCCCCCUGGACAGAUACUGACACUCAGAUGCGAAAGCGUGGGGAGCAAACAGGAUUAGAUACCCUGGUAG
rnacentral:rRNA from 1 species